GAAAUCCAAAGGAAGAAGAAAGAGUAUCAGCAACACUCAGGAGGAAUGGAAGGAGAAAGAACAAAGGAGAAAAGCGGAACAGACUCGGUCUUGGUUUGGACAUAACUGAGCAGCCAUUGACAAAGCACAUCUCUGUUUGAACUAGCCAUGUUUCAAGGGCUCAGCAGCCGCACAGACAACUCCUGUCUCGGAUCUUUAGAACAGUGUGUGCCCUACUGUUGAGGACCUUCGGCUGGUGCACAUAGGGAACUUGUCUGUGUACACCUCGACCCAGGGGUGGCUCUGCCUGGUGACAAGGAC